rnacentral:rRNA from 1 species
UUCUACCGACGGGACGCAGCAGUGGGGAAUAUUGCGCAAUGGGCGCAAGCCUGAUGCAGCAACGCCGCGUGAGCGAAGAAGGUCUUCGGAUCGUAAAGCUCUGUCCUUGAGGAAGAAGGAAGUGACGGUACUCAAGGAGGAAGCCCCGGCUAACUACGUGCCAGCAGCCGCGGUAAUACGUAGGGGGCAAGCGUUAUCCGGAAUUAUUGGGCGUAAAGAGUACGUAGGUGGUUUUGUAAGCGCGGGGUGAAAGGCAGUGGCUUAACCAUUGUAAGCCUUGCGAACUGCAAGACUUGAGUGCAGGG